rnacentral:rRNA from 1 species
UACGUAGGGGGCAAGCGUUGUCCGGAUUUACUGGGCGUAAAGAGCGUGUAGGCGGCUUUACAGGUCCGUUGUGAAAACUCGAGGCUCAACCUCGAGACGCCGGUGGAAACCGUAAAGCUAGAGUCCGGAAGAGGAGAGUGGAAUUCCUGGUGUAGCGGUGAAAUGCGCAGAUAUCAGGAAGAACACCCGUGGCGAAGGCGGCUCUCUGGGACGGUACUGACGCUGAGACGCGAAAGCGUGGGGAGCGAACAGG